CAAUAGACAAUAGACAAUAGGUGCAGGAGUGGGCCAUUCGGUCCUUUGAGCCAGCACCGCCAUUCAAUGUGAUCAUGGCUGAUCAUCCCCAAUCGCAACACCGUUCCUGCUUUCUCCCCAUAUCCCCUGACUCCGCUAUCUUUAAGUUUUAUACAUGUCUUGCACGCUAUGCUCAACCGAGGUAAUAUCACAAUGUUUGAAAAACAUUUGGACAGGUACAUGGAUAGGAUAUGUUUAGAGGGAUAUGGGCCAAAUGCAGGCAGGUGGGUGUAGUGCAGACACAGCAUGUAGGUUGGCAUAGGCAAGUUGGGCCAAUGGGCUUGUUUCCACAACGCAUGACGCUAUGCCUCCCUAUCCACUGUUGAUAUCUGAUUUGUUGACUGUAAUUUACUGACAAGGCUGUGCAGAUUUGUCCAAGACAGUCAAGCUUUUGAAAAUCCAUUGUACCGUGCCUUUCUGUAACUUUAGGAUUGGUGCACUAUUGAUCGUAAAUAUCACGGAGCGGCACGGCGGCACAGCGGUAGCGUUGCUGUCUUACAGCGCUUGCAGUGCCAGAGACGGGGGUUCGAUCCUGAUUACGGGAGCUGUCUGUACGGAGUUUGUACGUUCUCCCCGUGACCACGUGGGUUUUCUCCAAGAUCUUAGGUUUCCUCCAACACUCCAAAGACGUACAGGUUUUAGGUUAUUGGGCUUGGUAUAAGUGUAAAUUGUCUCUAGUAUGUGUAGGAUAGUGUUAAUGUACGGGAAUCGCUGAUCGGAGGGGACCUGGUGGGCCGAAGGGCAUGUUUCUGCGCUGUAUCUCUAAACUAAACUAAAACAAAAUCAACUCUAAAAGGUACUUUGCAGAUAGCUGAUAUAGGUCUUGGAUAUCCUUGAAGUCUGUCACCAAAUGUUAUGCAGUUCUCUAUUUAGAACUUGAUCAUCUGAAGAAGGGUCCUGACCCAAAACGUCACCCAUUCCUCUCUCCAGAGAUGCUGCCUGUCCCGCUGAGUUACUCCAGCACUUUGUGUCUGCUUUAGUACUUGAUCCUGUGUUCAUUUCGAGGCUUUCCUCAGUUCUGCUGAUAAGAGGUCGACUUUCACCUUAAGAGACAAAUAAUAAAACCACCAGGUAUCAAGUACCUGAAAUGACACAAGGUACAGUUAAGUUGCUCAGUUAAGGACCUGAAGCCUCUGGUGCAUCAAUGAAGGUGAUGCGAAAUGGUGUGGAGUCUGGGGUGCUGGGAAACUGGCUCUCAUUGACCCAUAUAUCAAACUUCAGUUGUGUCCAAACUGUGAGAUCCCGGGUGUGAGCAGACACAAUCUUACACAUUUCCCUGGGCAGAAAUGUAACACCAGAGCCACCUUUCCAAAGGAUUUGCACAGGCGAUGAGCUGGAGGGCUGUGACUGGCCUCGGAGCCCAGCAUUCAAUGGCAUUGCGAACAUUAGAACCGGAGAGAGUGGGAAGAUGUGGCGGCUCGGUGGCGCAGUGGUAGAGUUGCUGCCUUACAGCACCAGAGCCCCGUGUCCCGGGUUCAAUCCUGACCACGGGUGCUGUGUGCACGGAGUUUGUACGUUCUCCCAGUGCCCUGCGUGAAUUUUCCCCGAGAUCUUCGGUUUCCCCCCACACUCCAAAGACGUACAGGUUUGUAGGUUAAUCGGCUUGGUAUAAGAGUAAAUUGUCCCUAGUGUGUGUAGGCUGGUGUUAAUGUGCGGGGAUCAUUGGCUGGUGUAGACUCCGAAGGGCCUGUUUCUCUAAACUAAACUAAACUAAAUGAAGGAUUGGAAUCUUGGCGAAGCAGGGAACGAGGUAUACAGCCAAGCAGGGCCCAGUGGGAUUGUCUGAUUAAGUUGUGGAGAGCCCAGAACUGUUCCUCAGUGUGUUCACUCGGGAAAAAACAAUACCCAUUUUCAAUUGCAUGACAAUGGAAAAAAAUAUAACCUAUUUGAAUUUCUAGGCAACAUUGCCCAGAAUGCAGAUAGAGCCUUGGAAACCGAUCAGAAAUUAAGACACACAGGUCAGUUUAUUCUGUAUGCUGUGCCACAUUAGUGCUGCCUUCUAAACAACUUACACACUUGAUUCUAUUAUUGUCACCAUGUGGAUCGGAGUCUCUCGUCUCUGCUUGUGGUGGCAGGAUGUAGAUUAUUGCGUGUGACACGGACCUGAGGUCACCAGUGCCCCUGCCGCCUACCCCUGUUGUUUAUGCUAUCGGAUGUAUUUUUAUGCCAUUCCUUUUUAAACCACCUUGUCCGAGUGACUACAGUUUAAUUGAUCUGAAAUCAAAAAAUGCGUUCAGGCUAUCUUGUUUUAAAAUUGGCAACAACAUUGUUUUUCUAAGAGGGUGUUUUGAUGUCAUUCAAAUGAUCAAAUGGUUAAUGGAAAGUGUUAAUAUUUAAAAAAAAAACGAUGAAGAUCAUUUUUAUUGAUAAAAUGCAUAUGGUCAAUCGCACUGGAUGGUCUUGUAAACACAGUCAACUCACCAUUGUCGGUGUUUUGUCAGUUAACUGAACACAUUUUGGUUACUUGUUGGUCACAUUUAACGUGUUCAGAUGGUGCACUCUGCAGUAUAAGUAACGACACUGCACACUACACAGAAAUGCCCACAUUAAUUAUACGUUUGGCAAGCUGGGUGUGUUGUUACUUGUACAUUGCCAUUGUACAUAAUUUCUCCGGUCAGUUUUUUUUGGUAGUUAGAGUAAUGUUUUAGACUGCUAGUCCUACUCGUUGCAACAAAACGGUGAUCUCUGUAUAUUUAUUUGUUUGACGCUACUUAUAAUGAUUAACAAAAAAUCUGCAGUUUGAUUGCACAGUGUAAUUGAUCAUUAAUUGUUUGUGUCUGUCUAAUUUCAUUGCACAGAGAAUAUGUGCACAUCAAUAAAUAAAUGACUGGAUGUGGUACUUAUUUUGUUCAAUGGGAUCUUUUCAAUCUCUAUAUUUUGAUUAAUGCAUUGAGCACAAUUAAUUUUUUUCCAAGCUGUGGAGCUAAGCAACCUACUGUGUAUUCGAACGCAUUCAAAAAGUUAUACCUUUCUGUGAAACUGAAUGCACUUGCAGUUUUGUUUAAUAAACACAUGGAUCCAAA